rnacentral:rRNA from 1 species
UACAGAGGUCUCAAGCGUUGUUCGGAUUCAUUGGGCGUAAAGGGUGCGUAGGCGGCUUGGUAAGUCGGGUGUGAAAUCUCGGAGCUUAACUCCGAAACUGCAUUCGAUACUGCCGUGCUUGAGGACUGGAGAGGAGACUGGAAUUUACGGUGUAGCGGUGAAAUGCGUAGAUAUCGUAAGGAAGACCAGUGGCGAAGGCGGGUCUCUGGACAGUUCCUGACGCUGAGGCACGAAGGCCAGGGGAGCAAACGGG